CAAGCCUGGGCAAUGGCGGGCGCCCCUCCCCCAGCCUCGCUGCCGCCUUGCAGUUUGAUCUCAGACUGCUGUGCUAGCAAUCAGCGAGACUCCCUGGGCAUAGGACCCUACGAGCCAGGUGCGGGAUAUAAUCUCGUGUUGCACCGUUUUUUAAGCCUGUCGGAAAAGCGCAGUAUUCUGGUGGGAGUGACCCGAUUUUCCAGGUGCCGUCCAUCACUCCUUUCUUUGACUCAGAAAGGGAACUCCCUGACCCCUUGCGCUUCCCAAGUGAGGCAAUGCCUCGCCCUGCUUCGGCUCGCGCACGGUGCACGCACCCACUGACCUGCGCCCACUGUCUGGCACUCCCUAGUGAGAUGAACCCGGUACCUCAGAUGGAAAUGCAGAAAUCACCCGUCUUCUGCGUCGCUCACGCUGGGAGCUGUAGACCGGAGCUGUUCCUAUUCGGCCAUCUUGGCUCCUCCCUCUGAAGAGUCCAACAGAAAAUUUUAAGUACCUGUUUAAAGCAAUUUACAAGAUACUGUGGAGAUUCCCAGCAAUAAAGAAUGUACUAUAGUUAAGCUGGAAUCCAACUCCUGAAUUUCUGGAGCCCUGAAGACCACUUAGUCUUACUCACAAGAAUUGAAUGGAAUGUGAAUCUACACUCAGGUGAAGCCAGGGUAUUUUGAACGUCCCUACAAGACUGAAGCACCACUGGGAAAUAAGUAAUAGAGAUGCCAUCAUUGUGGAGGUCAUAAUGCUUGUCCUGAACACGAGGGGUCUCUAGUGAGGCACCAAUUCAGCUCCUCUUCUGUGGAGAGACUACAUGGGUGCUGAAGAAACAAAGACACAACGCAGCUCCUCUCAAAGGAGUUCAGAGCUUAGCAGGGGAGACAGAACCAUGAAUGCAUAGUUACGCAUCAAUGUGCUGCACGAGCACUGAAGCCCAAGCACAAGCGGCCUGAGUCCCAAAAACAUUUGCUGACUGCUGUUCUAUCUAGGAUAUCAUCAGUGUGUAGAUGAUCAGAGUUCAUGUCAGUGUUCCUACAAGCCAAUGAAGAAAAACAGAGAUCUGUGUUCUGAAUGGAAAAAUUCCUACUGAUGCCAGUAAGUGAGCCAUCCAUCUAUGAUGUGUCUAUGGGGAAGAAAGUGACAUGAAUGAGUAAAAUAGAAUAUAUGCUUUAAAUCAUGAAAAUUGAGUCCAGAUGGAAAGGUUAGGAGGAAAUGGAGUGGAAAGGUGGAUGAAGAAGAGUGAGAACUCAUGCAGUCGUUGCGACUUGGUUGACACUUCCUUCCCUGUGACUACAAUUCCAAGUUCAGUACUCCUGAGCUUUUAUAGAUGGAUGAGAAUAUAGGGGGAAGAAACAAGAGGAAGGAGUUUUCUGAAAUCUCGGUGGAGAGGAGGGAGAAAAAAGAUGGGAAAAUGUUACAAGCAUUCUGUUCAUGUUGUAUCACUUAGUGCAGUCUUGUCUUCCCAGCCCACUAGUCUGGAACAAGUCAGUCUCAAACAUAACAACAGACACUGGGGAGCUCUCCAACAAAAGAUCACCUCCCAAAGAACAGGAUGGUGUCGAAGACUGAAUGCCAGCCUGAGGAAACAGAAAUACUACAGAAGCACGCCAGAGCCUGCAGUGUCUCCUCGCUGCCUCUCAAUGAACUGCUAAAAGACCAAGAACUCUGCUGAGAGAUAAGAAGAGGGGAGGGUGUGCUGCAGGUGGUGCUGGGAGGCCCAGACCUUCUCCUGACAUCUGGGGCUGGCUACAGGAAACAGAAACAUCACCCAGGCCUUGGCGCGAGACAGGACAGAGGCAGAUUGUGACUCAGAUCUGCAGGUGGAAAGUGGGCCUUUCGUUUUCUCCUAGGGGUAGAGCAAAGCCAGAGGGCUCAGUCAGAGGAAACCUAAGGCAGUUCAUGAUCCCUUCAACUUUAUACCAUUUCCUCAAAACUGCCUCCAAACAGUGGGCAACUGGAAAGGUGGUCUGACCUCCAGUGAUCACACAGUAUGCAUUAUAACAGAAGGCUGUCACUGUCAAUUGCAUGGCUCCCUCACUAUGCAUUCCUUCUAUCAAUUUACGACAACACACUGUAGUGAGUACCUGCACAUUGCUGGGUAUUUUGGCAGACAUUGAUAGUAGAUGAAUAACACCUGGUACUUGACCUUGAGACGCUCACUGCCUAGUGUGGGGAACCAAUGGUUGCAAUAUAAAGUAUUAACUAGAGGGAUAGAGGACUGCCUGAGGAUCUCUGCACUCAGAGGAAGGGCCAUGAGAUCAGCCAGGACAGUAGGGAGGCAGUGACUCAUGAAAUUAGCAAGUGGUGAGAAGAGGGCAGUAGAUUCAGCGGCUGCUAAAAAAGGUUACUGAACUUUUUGUUUCAUCAAUGCCAAGAAAUUAAUCUGUUUUAGCCUCUUUCAUGGCCUCUGUUUGAAAUUUUUUAACUUUUUUUUUUUUUUUAGAUUUAGGGGUACAAGGACAGUUGUAUUGCAUGAGUAUAUCAUAUAGUGGUGAAGCCUGGGCUUUAAGUGCACCUAUCACCCGAAUAGCGUACAUUGUACCCACUAGGUAGUAUUUCAUUUCUCACCCUUCUUCCACCUUUUGGAAUCUCCAGUGUUUGUUGUUCUACUCUGUAUGCCCAUGUGUACUCAUUGUUUCACUCCCACUUAUAAGUGAGAACAUGUGCUUUUGACUUUCUGUUUCUGAGUUGUUUCACUUAGGAUAAUGCAUGUUCCUGUUUUGAUUCAGUCAAAAUCCUGGGGUCAGCACUGACAAUGUGAUUAACCCCUGUCCUAAAUUCACUGCAGAGGAACUGCUCCCAUAUGACUACUUAUUACCACCCAAGCCAGAAACCACAAAGAUAUUCUGACCUCUCCUCCUUCACUCCCCACCAACUGGUGAGUAAGCUAGUCACCAAGUCUUGAUUCUACUUGCAAACAUCUUUGGAAGGGAUCUCUCACUCCACACAGUCUCUGUCAUUGCCAAGUAUACCCAUUACCUCUGCUCUGUCCUACGGCUCAUCAUUCCUCAUCUACAUGCUGCACCAACCUCCUAACUCCCAUUCCUCCCCCUCCUAGUUCACUGCCAUAGCGUAAUCUUUCUAUAUCACGGAUCAUAUUGUGUCCGAAAUUGGUGGGUUCUUGGCCUCACUUACUUCAAGAAUGAAGCUGCAGACCCUCGUGGUGAGCGUUACAGUUCUUAAAGGUGAUGUGUCUGGAGUUUGUUCCUUCUGAUCAUGUUCGGAGUUUCUUCCUUCUGGUGGGUUCGUGGUCUCGUUGGCUUCAAGAGUGAAGCUGCAAACCUUCAAGGUGAGUGUUACAGCUCUUAAGGCAGCGCAUCUGGAGUUGUUUCUUCCUCC
rnacentral:lncRNA from 1 species